rnacentral:rRNA from 1 species
UACGUAGGGGGCGAGCGUUAUCCGGAAUCAUUGGGCGUAAAGCGCGUGUAGGCGGUUCCGUAAGUCCGCUCUGAAAGCCCAGGGCUCAACCCUGGGAGGCGGGUGGAUACUACGGAACUGGAGUACGGAAGAGGAGAUUGGAAUUCCUGGUGUAGCGGUGAAAUGCGCAGAUAUCAGGAGGAACACCAACAGCAAAGGCAGAUCUCUGGGACGUUACUGACGCUGAGACGCGAAAGCGUGGGGAGCAAACAGG